UGCAGUCGAACGAUGAACCACUUCGGUGGGGAUUAGUGGCGAACGGGUGAGUAACACGUGGGCAAUCUGCCCUUCACUCUGGGACAAGCCCUGGAAACGGGGUCUAAUACCGGAUAUCACUCCUGCAGGCAUCUGCGGGAGUUGAAAGCUCCGGCGGUGAAGGAUGAGCCCGCGGCCUAUCAGCUUGUUGGUGAGGUAAUGGCUCACCAAGGCGACGACGGGUAGCCGGCCUGAGAGGGCGACCGGCCACACUGGGACUGAGACACGGCCCAGACUCCUACGGGAGGCAGCAGUGGGGAAUAUUGCACAAUGGGCGAAAGCCUGAUGCAGCGACGCCGCGUGAGGGAUGACGGCCUUCGGGUUGUAAACCUCUUUCAGCAGGGAAGAAGCGAAAGUGACGGUACCUGCAGAAGAAGCGCCGGCUAACUACGUGCCAGCAGCCGCGGUAAUACGUAGGGCGCAAGCGUUGUCCGGAAUUAUUGGGCGUAAAGAGCUCGUAGGCGGCUUGUCACGUCGGGUGUGAAAGCCCGGGGCUUAACCCCGGGUCUGCAUUCGAUACGGGCUAGCUAGAGUGUGGUAGGGGAGAUCGGAAUUCCUGGUGUAGCGGUGAAAUGCGCAGAUAUCAGGAGGAACACCGGUGGCGAAGGCGGAUCUCUGGGCCAUUACUGACGCUGAGGAGCGAAAGCGUGGGGAGCGAACAGGAUUAGAUACCCUGGUAGU
rnacentral:rRNA from 1 species